AACGAACGCUGGCGGCAGGCCUAACACAUGCAAGUCGAACGCCGUAGCAAUACGGAGUGGCAGACGGGUGAGUAACACGUGGGAACGUACCCUUCGGUUCGGAAUAACUCAGGGAAACUUGAGCUAAUACCGGAUACGUCCGAGAGGAGAAAGAUUUAUCGCCGAGGGAUCGGCCCGCGUCUGAUUAGCUUGUUGGUGAGGUAACGGCUCACCAAGGCGACGAUCAGUAGCUGGUCGAGAGGAUGAUCAGCCACAUUGGGACUGAGACACGGCCCAAACUCCUACGGGAGGCAGCAGUGGGGAAUAUUGGACAAUGGGCGCAAGCCUGAUCCAGCCAUGCCGCGUGAGUGAUGAAGGCCCUAGGGUUGUAAAGCUCUUUUACCCGGGAAGAUAAUGACUGUACCGGGAGAAUAAGCCCCGG
rnacentral:rRNA from 1 species